UACCUAUGUGCACAUUUGGCAGAGG
rnacentral:misc_RNA from 1 species